rnacentral:rRNA from 1 species
AUACGGAGGGUGCAAGCGUUAAUCGGAAUUACUGGGCGUAAAGCGUACGUAGGCGGUUCGUUAAGUUAGAUGUGAAAGCCCCGGGCUUAACCUGGGAACUGCAUUUAGAACUGGCGAACUAGAGUUGAGUAGAGGGGAGUGGAAUUUCAGGUGUAGCGGUGAAAUGCGUAGAGAUCUGAAGGAACACCAGUGGCGAAGGCGGCUCCCUGGACUCAAACUGACGCCGAGGUACGAAAGCGUGGGUAGCAAACGGGAUUAGAAACCCUAGUAGUCC